rnacentral:misc_RNA from 1 species
GAUGAAGAACGCAGUGAAAUGCGAUAAGUAAUGCGAAUUGCAGAAUUCCGUGAGUCAUCGAAUCUUUGAACGCACAUUGCGCCCUUUGGUAUUCCAAAGGGCAUGCCUGUCCGAGCGUCAUUGUCCACCCUCAAGCCCGGCUUGCUAUUGGGUUGCGUUGGGGCGUCGACCUCUACGGACCUUAAAAAGUAUUGGCAGAGCCUACAAGGGUCCCGGACGCAGCGAGCUCUCCAGCACGCGUCGCGGGGAUCUCUUCAGGCUUGGCCUCAACCAACGAUUUUUCUCGUUGACCUCGGAUCAGGCAGGGAUACCCGCUGAACUUAAGCAUAUCAAUAAGCGGAGGA